rnacentral:rRNA from 1 species
GGACAACAGGUUAAUAUUCCUGUACUGAGUAAAAUGUGAUGGAGUGACGGAGAAGGAUAGUCUUACCACUUACUGGAUUGUGGGGUAAGUAUCAACUGGGCGUUGUAGGCAAAUCCGCAGCGCUUAACCGGGAGAUGCGAUGCAUAGUGAAAGGGUAACCAAGUAGCAAAUUAGAUGAUUUCAUGCUUCUUAAAAAAGCUUCUAACUACAAAUUUUAUGAACCCGUACCGAGAACGAACACACGUCCCCAAGAUGAGUAUUCUAAGGCGAGCGAGAAAACCAAUGUUAAGGAACUCUGCAAAUUAACCCCGUAAGUUAGCGAGAAGGGGUGCCUAUGGUAACACAUAGGCCGCAGUGAAGAGUAAGGGGGAACUGUUUACCAAAAACACAGCUCUAUGCUAAGUCGCAAGACGAUGUAUAUGGGGUGACUCCUGCCCAGUGCCCGAAGGUUAAGCAAAGGCGUUAGCAAUGCGAAGCGUUGAUGUGAAGCCCGGGUGAACGGCGGCCGUAACUAUAACGGUCCUAAGGUAGCGAAAUUCCUUGUCGGCUAAAUACUGACCUGCACGAAAGGAGUAAUUAUCUCUUAACUGUCUCAACAUUGGACUCGGUGAAAUUAUGGUUGCGGCGAAGACGCCGCAUACCCGCAUCUAGACGAAAAGACCCCGUGGAGCUUUACUAUAACUUCAUAUUGGAGUUUGAUUUAACUUGUGUAGGAUAGGUGGGAGACUUUGAAGUAAGGACGCUAGUCCCUAUGGAGUCGACGUUGAAAUACCACCCUUCUUACAUUGAACUUCUAACUUGUUGCCAUUAUCUGGCAAGAUGACAGUGUGUGGUGGGUAGUUUGACUGGGGCGGUCGCCUCCCAAAGGGUAACGGAGGCGUUCAAAGUUACACUCAGUACGGUCAGAAACCGUAUUAAAGAGCAUAAAGGUAGAAGUGUGAUUGACUGUGAGACUUACAAGUCGAGCAGGUGCGAAAGCAGGACUUAGUGAUCCGGCGGUUCUUCGUGGAAAGGCCGUCGCUCAACGGAUAAAAGCUACCCCGGGGAUAACAGGCUUAUCUUUCCCAAGAGAUCACAUCGACGGGAAGGUUUGGCACCUCGAUGUCGGCUCAUCGCAUCCUGGAGCUGGAGUCGGUUCCAAGGGUUCGCCUGUUCGGCGAUUAAAGCGGUACGCGAGCUGGGUUCAAAACGUCGUGAGACAGUUUGGUUCCUAUCUGAUGUGGGCGUUGGAAUAUUGAUGAGAGCUGUCCUUAGUACGAGAGGACCAGGAUGGACAAACCGAUGGU